rnacentral:rRNA from 1 species
CAUGCAGUCGAACGAAGCACUUUAUUUGAUUUCCUUCGGGACUGAUUAUUUUGUGACUGAGUGGCGGACGGGUGAGUAACGCGUGGGUAACCUGCCUUGUACAGGGGGAUAACAGUUGGAAACGGCUGCUAAUACCGCAUAAGCGCACAGCAUCGCAUGAUGCAGUGUGAAAAACUCCGGUGGUAUAAGAUGGACCCGCGUUGGAUUAGCUAGUUGGUGAGGUAACGGCCCACCAAGGCGACGAUCCAUAGCCGACCUGAGAGGGUGACCGGCCACAUUGGGACUGAGACACGGCCCAAACUCCUACGGGAGGCAGCAGUGGGGAAUAUUGCACAAUGGGCGAAAGCCUGAUGCAGCGACGCCGCGUGAGCGAAGAAGUAUUUCGGUAUGUAAAGCUCUAUCAGCAGGGAAGAUAAUGACGGUACCUGACUAAGAAGCACCGGCUAAAUACGUGCCAGCAGCCGCGGUAAUACGUAUGGUGCAAGCGUUAUCCGGAUUUACUGGGUGUAAAGGGAGCGCAGGCGGUGCGGCAAGUCUGAUGUGAAAGCCCGGGGCUCAACCCCGGUACUGCAUUGGAAACUGUCGUACUAGAGUGUCGGAGGGGUAAGCGGAAUUCC